rnacentral:lncRNA from 1 species
CAGACCUGCAUUUAUUUGUGUCAAAUGCUAAUGUUGCUAUAUUAUAAAUUUUACAUGAAACUGCUGUAUCAAUGAAAUUUUCAAGAAACAAUGAUUCAUUUUAACAAGAAUGUCUUUGGUGCAGACACUGAUGCGAAUGAGGAUAUGAUGGCUGGAUCCACCUUGAGAUAUUGAGAAAAUCACUCAAUUGGGGGUAACAGAACAGAAAAACAGAAGGCAUUAUAUUAAGGCAUCCUUAAUGUAACAGUACGUAUUGAACCAUAGAAUUGAACAAACCCAUGUCACUUACCUCCAGAUUUUUUAUCAAAUGACACCAUAAAUUCCAUAUUAUUUGAGAAGAUGAAUUUUACCGGGAUUUUCUGUUGUUUACUGCUGAAAGCAACCUAAUUGAUAGAGUGUCUUUGCAGAUGUAAUUCGUUAGUAAGAUGAGGUCAUACUGGAGUAGGGUAAAGCCUUAAUCCAGUAUGGCUGGUGUCUUCAUGAGAAGACACAGGCAUGCAAGGGAAGAACACCACAUGACAUGGGAGGCAAAGACUGAAGUGCUGCGUCAGCAAGCCAAGAACACCAAGGACUGCCAGCCUCCACUAGAAGCGAGGGAGAAGAAAAAGGUUGCUUUCUUGCAGAAUUCAGAGGGAGCACAACUCUGCUAAAACCGUGACUUUAGACUUUGGACUCCAUAAUUGUGAGAUUGUUUUCUGUUGCUUUAAGCUGCCCUAUCUGCUGCUUUGAUGUAACUUUGUCACACUAGAAAAGUAGUACAAUUGAAAACUAAACUUCUAUCCACUAUUUUUUCUUAUUAUAAGCCAUUUAAAUCUGUCUUUUAUUGAUAUUGAAGUUAGAAACAAAUUCUUUUCCCUUGAAUUUUAGAGGAAACUACAUAAAGCUACAUUUCCAGUAAAAAUUGUAAACUUCAACAUGUCCUGAAAAAUGGUGGCUACUCAAAGAGAAUCUAUGGGACAAAGAUUCCAUAAUUCAAAUGCAA